UGGCGCCACUGCAAUCCAGCCCCGGCAACAGAGCGAGACUCUGGCUCUAGAAAAAAAAAAAAAAAGAAUUAUAAUGUGUAGGAUUGUGGAUGAUCACUCUAAUCAACCAGUGGGCAAGUUGCUUUGCUCAGCGUAAGUUCAAACUGCCACAUCAGAACGUUAUUUGCGUAUACAUAUGCAACCAUUGAAAGUGGCCGUUACCACGAUGCAUUCUGGGAAAGGAGCAGCACCAAAUCCAAGAUGGCGGCCAGCAGGAGGCUGAUGAAGGAGCUUGAAGAAAUCCGCAAAUGUGGAAUGGAAAACUUCCGUAACAUCCAGGUUGAUGAAGCUAAUUUAUUGACUUGGCAAGGGCUUAUUGUUCCUGACAACCCUCCGUAUAAUAAGGGGGCCUUCAGAAUCGAAAUCAACUUUCCAGCAGAGUACCCAUUCAAACCACCCAGGAUUACAUUUAAAACAAAGAUCUAUCACCCGAACAUCGACGAAAAGGGGCAGGUCUGUCUGCCAGUAAUUAGUGCUGAAAACUGGAAGCCAGCAACCAAAACCGACCAAGUAAUCCAGUCCCUCAUAGCACUGGUGAAUGACCCACAGCCCGAGCACCCGCUUCGGGCUGACCUAGCUGAAGAAUACUCUAAAGACCGUAAAAAAUUCUGUAAGAAUGCUGAAGAGUUUACAAAGAAAUAUGGGGAAAAGCGACCUGUGGACUAAAAUCUGCCACGAUUGAUUCCAGCAAGUGUGAGCAGAGACCGACCCCCUGUAGUACAUUCAGACACCUCGCAAAGAAGGACUCUGUGGAAAUCGACGUGCCACCGCUUGGCGUUCGCUUGCAGCAGUUACUGACUUUCUACAGUUUUCUUAAUUAAAAGUGGUCUAGGUAACCUGUAAAGAAAGGAUUAAAAAUUUAAGAUGUUCUAAAAAAAAAAAAAAAGUGGCCAUUAAUAGACGGAACUAUACAUUGGACUAGUUGGUGUUUUAAAAGCAUAAAAUCUGGCUACCCUAACAGGAUAAGAGUUCAGACAGCAGGAUGUUGACACAGGGUCCUACCAGAACCCAGGGUUUACUUAGAGAACAUAAAAGAAAAGAGAUUGUAUGCUCUAUUCCUUGCCUUUUUUUUUUUUUUUUUUUUGGUGGAUGUAGAUAGGAAAUGGGAUGAGAGUGGCCACAGGAAUUCGUAUUGGUCGUGGGAAAUCCAUUUUUGUUUUAAUUGAUGUUUCCUGUUGAACUGACGUUUAGAUUGAAAUACCUGCGAGCCAGGUUCCCUGGCUCACACCUGUAAUCCCAUCACUUUGGGAAGCUGAGGUGGGUGGAUCACCUGAGGUCAGGAGU